rnacentral:rRNA from 1 species
CAUAGCGACUAUCGUGGCAUAUCAAUAAGCGGAGGAAAAGAAACUAACAAGGAUUCCCUUAGUAACGGCGAGUGAAGCGGGAAGAGCUCAAAUUUGAAAUCUUCAAGGUUCUACCUUGACGAAUUGUAGUUUAUAGAAGUGUUUUCUGUUAGUAGAGUGGCAAAAGUUCUUUGGAAUAGGACAUCAUAGAGGGUGAGAAUCCCGUAUUUGGUCAUUCCUUCCUAGCUUUGUGAUACACUUUCAACGAGUCGGAUUGUUUGGGAAUGCAGUCCAAAGUGGGUGGUAAAUUUCAUCUAAAGCUAAAUAUUGGCGAGAGACCGAUAGCGAACAAGUACCGUGAGGGAAAGAUGAAAAGAACUUUGAAAAGAGAGUUAAACAGUACGUGAAAUUGUCAAAAGGGAAGCGUUUGACACCAGUGUUGUUUUUCCGAAAAUCAAUUACGAAUGUUUUAUUUUUGGAGAAGUUAUGACUUCAUCGGCUUGCUUCUUCUUUACGAAACUUUCUUAAUGCACUUUUCGGUUAACAAGUCAACAUCAAUUUCUUUUGUUGUAAAAGGGUAUGAGGAAGGUGGCUUUCUUUUCGGAGAAAGUGUUUAGAGCCUUGUACCUCUAGCAAUCGGAGAGAUUGAGGUCUGCAGCGUAGAUCCUUCGGGGUUAGAUACAUUUGUGCUAAGUUAUAGCUUUUCAUAGACAACUUGUUGACUAUGUUUAGUCUUGUAGCUUACUCGCUUACUGCUAUUUUACCUACGCUUAGGAUGUUGAUAUGCAUGACUGAUAU